rnacentral:rRNA from 1 species
AGUGAACGCUGGCGGUAGGCCUAACACAUGCAAGUCGAACGGCAGCACAGUAAGAGCUUGCUCUUACGGGUGGCGAGUGGCGGACGGGUGAGGAAUACAUCGGAAUCUACUUUUUCGUGGGAGAUAACGUAGGGAAACUUACGCUAAUACCGCAUACGACCUACGGGUGAAAGCAGGGGAUCUUCGGACCUUGCGCGAUUGAAUGAGCCGAUGUCGGAUUAGCUAGUUGGCGGGGUAAAGGCCCACCAAGGCGACGAUCCGUAGCUGGUCUGAGAGGAUGAUCAGCCACACUGGAACUGAGACACGGUCCAGACUCCUACGGGAGGCAGCAGUGGGGAAUAUUGGACAAUGGGCGCAAGCCUGAUCCAGCCAUACCGCGUGGGUGAAGAAGGCCUUCGGGUUGUAAAGCCCUUUUGUUGGGAAAGAAGAGCAGCAGGUUAAUACCCCGCUGUUCUGACGGUACCCAAAGAAUAAGCACCGGCUAACUUCGUG